GAUGAAGAACGCAGCGAAAUGCGAUACGUAAUGUGAAUUGCAGAAUUCAGUGAAUCAUCGAGUCUUUGAACGCACAUUGCGCCCCCUGGUAUUCCGGGGGGCAUGCCUGUCCGAGCGUCAUUGCUGCCCUCAAGCCCGGCUUGUGUGUUGGGCCCCGUCCUCCGAUUCCGGGGGACGGGCCCGAAAGGCAGCGGCGGCACCGCGUCCGGUCCUCGAGCGUAUGGGGCUUUGUCACCCGCUCUGUAGGCCCGGCCGGCGCUUGCCGAUCAACCCAAAUUUUUAUCCAGGUUGACCUCGGAUCAGGUAGGGAUACCCGCUGAACUUAAGCAUAUCAAUAAGCGGAGGA
rnacentral:misc_RNA from 1 species